rnacentral:rRNA from 1 species
UAAAAUGAAUAUAAUAUCACGAAGGGGGUUGAGCUAAUUAAUUAAGUAUAGUAGAACUGUGACCACUUGUUGCAGCACGUGGCUAGUAUGGUUAAUUAGGAGUGAUAGGCCUCUCAAGACCUCCGAUAUCUUGUUUCCUAGGAAAUAUAUUAAGUAUGUUUUCAACUUAGGAGUGUCUAGGCUUUUAAGGUUUACCAAUUUAAAUUAUAAAGUAAUAACCUACCUAACGGUAAUUAUUUAAAGUAGAUUAAUAUUUAUUAUUGGAAAUUUGUUUUACUUACUAGGAUAUAUAUAACAAUUAAUUAUAUGUUAUUACUGUUGAUAUUAGUAUUAUAUUAAAGUUUCGGGAGGAAUUCGGCAAAUAACUUCUCAACUGUUUAUCAAAAACAUAGCUAGGUGUAUACAUACUUAGUGAUUCCUGCUCAAUGGUUCGCUAAAUAGCCGCAGUACCCUGACUGUGCAAAGGUAGCAUAAUCAUUUGGCUUAUAAUUGAAGUCUGGCAUGAAAGGAUAAAUGGGUAGUAACUGUCUUCGAAAACUUACUAGAACUUACUUAGCAAGUGAAAAUACUUGCAGUUAUAUAAUAGACGAGAAGACCCUAGAAGUUUUGUAUAGAUUAUACUAUGUAUGAUAUUAUUUUGUUGGGGCGACAGAGUAGCAGAUAACCUAUUUUAUUUAAUUAGAACUAUAUGUUGAGUUAAAUUAAACUACUCUAGGGAUAACAGCAUAAUUUAAUAAAGUUUGUGACCUCGAUGUUGGACUAGGGACCUUAAUAUCUAGAAGGUGUUAUGUCAAGCUCUGUUCGAGCUAUUAUCCCUACAUGAUCUGAGUUCAGACCGGC